rnacentral:lncRNA from 1 species
AAUAUCCAUCCGGCUACAAGCUUUCUAAAUCUUGCUAAACCAACUUGCUGAUAUGAAACAAAUAAGGAUUGGGAUGAGACAUAAUGUCUCAGUGAAUUCUACCUAAUCCUAGGCUAUAGGUAACCUCGAGGAAACCUAGGGUCACCACGUGUCUACAAUACAACCUGUCGGUUGAUAAUAUGUGUUGCAUCAUGCUUUCCUAUACAGUUGUGCAUACUAGAUCCG